rnacentral:tRNA from 1 species
GCUGGGGUCGCUCAAUCUGGUGGAGCACUGGUCUUGAAAACCAGCGGGCGAAAGCCCAUGAGGGUUCAAAUCCCUUUCCCAGCG